rnacentral:rRNA from 2 species
GGGUUGUGAGGUUAAGCGACUAAGCGUACACGGUGGAUGCCCUGGCAGUCAGAGGCGAUGAAGGACGUGCUAAUCUGCGAUAAGCGUCGGUAAGGUGAUAUGAACCGUUAUAACCGGCGAUUUCCGAAUGGGGAAACCCAGUGUGUUUCGACACACUAUCAUUAACUGAAUCCAUAGGUUAAUGAGGCGAACCGGGGGAACUGAAACAUCUAAGUACCCCGAGGAAAAGAAAUCAACCGAGAUUCCCCCAGUAGCGGCGAGCGAACGGGGAGGAGCCCAGAGCCUGAAUCAGUGUGUGUGUUAGUGGAAGCGUCUGGAAAGGCGCGCGAUACAGGGUGACAGCCCCGUACACAAAAAUACACAUAUUGUGAGCUCGAUGAGUAGGGCGGGACACGUGGUAUCCUGUCUGAAUAUGGGGGG